rnacentral:rRNA from 1 species
AUACAGAGGGUGCAAGCGUUAAUCGGAAUUACUGGGCGUAAAGCGCGCGUAGGCGGCUUGGUCAGUCGGAUGUGAAAGCCCCGGGCUCAACCUGGGAACUGCAUUCGAUACUGCCAGGCUAGAGUAUGGUAGAGGGUAGUAGAAUUCCUGGUGUAGCGGUGAAAUGCGUAGAUAUCAGGAGGAAUACCAGUGGCGAAGGCGGCUACCUGGACCAAUACCGACGCUGAGGUGCGAAAGCGUGGGGAGCAAACAGGAUUAGAAACCCUAGUAGUCC